GUACUCGCUCCAGCAGUACAUACACUACAAUGGCAAAGAUAUAGAGAUUAGCAUGGCCCUCGCACAAGGAUGACAUGCAUUCCAUAUUUUU
rnacentral:snRNA from 1 species